GAUCUGGCUCAGGAUGAACGCUAGCUACAGGCUUAACACAUGCAAGUCGAGGGGAAACGACAUCGAAAGCUUGCUUUUGAUGGGCGUCGACCGGCGCACGGGUGAGUAACGCGUAUCCAACCUGCCCAUCACUUGGGGAUAACCUUGCGAAAGUAAGACUAAUACCCAAUGAUAUCUCUAGAAGACAUCUGAAAGAGAUUAAAGAUUUAUCGGUGAUGGAUGGGGAUGCGU
rnacentral:rRNA from 1 species